rnacentral:rRNA from 1 species
GGGCCCGCACAAGCAGCGGAGCGUGUGGUUUAAUUCGAUGCUACACGAAGAACCUUACCAGGGUUUGACAUGCAAGUGGUAGGAAACCGAAAGGUGACCGACCCUUCGGGGAGCUUGCACAGGUGCUGCAUGGCUGUCGUCAGCUCGUGUCGUGAGAUGUUCGGUUAAGUCCGCUAACGAGCGCAACCCUCGCUGUGUGUUAUAUGUGUCACACGGGACUGCCGGUCUUAAGCCGGAGGAAGGUGGGGAUGAUGUCAAGUCAGCAUGGCCUUUAUAUCCUGGGCUACACACACGCUACAAUGGCCAGCACAGUAGGUUGCUAAGCCGCGAGGUGGAGCCAAUCCAUAAAGCUGGUCUCAGUUCAGAUUGCAGGCUGCAACCCGCCUGCAUGAAGAUGGAGUUGCUAGUAACCGCAGGUCAGCUAUACUGCGGUGAAUACGUUCCCGGGGCUU